rnacentral:ribozyme from 14 species
CCUCCACCCGAGCAGUGCCGCUGAAGUUGUGUAUGGAGCGCUGAGGCGCCUCCGCAGAAACGACACCCAGAACAACGCCAAGCCGACGAAGAGCCUCGAGGAGCAGUGGGUCUCGGUCGUGAAGCGUCGUGCUGGGCGUGGCGAGCUCGUUCGCCCCCCCAGCAUGCGCCGGUCCACCGCACAAAAGCUCCUGGAUGCAGCAGACCGCGCGGCGGACCUUGAGGUUGGUCUCUCCAUCAAGGUUCGCUGUAGAGACGUGGCACUCCCCUCCAUCACUGGGGCAAGC